UGGAGUCUCGCUCUGUCGCCCAGGCUGGAGUUUGUCAUCUUGGCUCACCACAACCUCCGCCUCCCAGGAAAGGUGGAAGUCAAAAGUUCUAAGAAAAAGGAAAGUAAACAUCAGCAUUUUGGUGAUCUUGAGAUGUGCAAGAUGAUACAAGACCAUAACAGUGUCUGAUUCUGGAGAAUGAAAGGCUGCAAUAAUUGAUGCAUCGGAUGCCCUUCAUAACAGUGAUGAGGAUGGAGCCAGGCGCCAUGGCCUGUAAGCCCAGCACCUUGGGAAGCCAAGGUAGGAGGAUCGCUUGA